UCUCCCUGUUCUGGGCAAAGUGGCACCAACUUCAUGGUGCUCAUCUUAUAUCAGCCAGGGGCAAAACAAUCCCAUGUUUAUCCCAGCAUGGCUUUUGAUCUGUGCCUUUGCCUGGUUCAUGCCUUGGACACACAU
ensembl:snoRNA